rnacentral:rRNA from 1 species
UAGGGAAUCUUCGGCAAUGGGGGGAACCCUGACCGAGCAACGCCGCGUGAGUGAAGAAGGUUUUCGGAUCGUAAAGCUCUGUUGUUAAGGAAGAACGAGUGUGAGAAUGGAAAGUUCAUACUGUGACGGUACUUAACCAGAAAGGGACGGCUAACUACGUGCCAGCAGCCGCGGUAAUACGUAGGUCCCGAGCGUUGUCCGGAUUUAUUGGGCGUAAAGCGAGCGCAGGCGGUUAGAUAAGUCUGAAGUUAAAGGCAGUGGCUCAACCAUUGUAGGCUUUGGAAACUGUUUAACUUGAGUGCAGAAGGGGAGAGUGGAAUUCCAUGUGUAACGGUGAAAUGCGUAGAUAUAUGGAGGAACACCGGUGGCGAAAGCGGCUCUCUAGUCUGUAACUGACGCUGAGGCUCGAAAGCGUGGGGAGCGAACAGG